CUAAGAGCCAGUGUGGAGUGCGCCACUAACAGUACUCUAGGAUAAGACCAGCUUUGCAAAUCACCAUGCUUUUUCUACUAGCUCUCCUAUCUUUGCUAAGUGAUCAAGUUAUCUUAACUCCUGUGCAAAAUGAUGCCUUAUUUCAGUACAUUAAUGAUCACCAGAGUGAAUAUAUUCAGAGACUGAAGAACUGGGUGGCAAUAGAAAGUGACUCCAGUGAUCCUUCAAAGAGAGACCAACUUCAACACAUGAUGGAAGUUACAAAAGACUACAUUUUAAGCAUCGGUGGACAUGUGGAAAU